GUCUGCCGGGCAGCCGCGCGGGGGUGACCCCGUGAGGAAAGUCCGGGCUUCACAGAGCAGGAUAACCGAUAACAUCGGCCGCGGGCGACCGCCGGACAAGUGCAACAGAAAUAGACUACCCCGGUUUCCGGGGAAAAGGUGGAAAGGUGGGGUAAGAGCCCACCGGUGUCCCGGGUGACCGGGGCAUCCUGUAAACUCUAUCCGAAGCAACACCGACCUGGGGGCUACGGCUUGCUCGGCCAAUCUCCAAACAGGUGGCAAAGAGACGGGCAGCAAUGUCCGCCCAAGAUAGAUGGCUGCCGACCACAGAACCCGGCUUACAGGCGGACU
rnacentral:RNase_P_RNA from 1 species